GACGAACGCUGGCGGCGUGCUUAACACAUGCAAGUCGAACGGUGAAGCGCCUUCCUUUUUGGUGGGUGUGGAUGAGUGGCGAACGGGUGAGUAACACGUGAGUAACCUGCCCCCUUCUUCUGGAUAACCGCAUGAAAGUGUGGCUAAUACGGGAUAUUCUGGGUCUGUCGCAUGAUGGGUCUGAGAAAGAUAUUGUUUCGGUGGGGGAUGGGCUCGCGGCCUAUCAGCUUGUUGGUGGGGUGAUGGCCUACCAAGGCGGUGACGGGUAGCCGGCCUGAGAGGGUGGACGGUCACACUGGGACGGAGACACGGCCCAGACUCCUACGGGAGGCAGCAGUGGGGAAUAUUGCACAAUGGGCGCAAGCCUGAUGCAGCGACGCCGCGUGAGGGAUGGAGGCCUUCGGGUUGUGAACCUCUUUCGCCAGUGAAGCAGGCCUGCCUCGUUUGUGGGUGGGUUGACGGUAGCUGGAUAAGAAGCGCCGGCUAACUACGUG
rnacentral:rRNA from 1 species